ACACGUAGGGGCCUGACGUUGUUCGGAAUCAUUGGGCGUAAAGGGCGCGCAGGCGGCCGUCCAAGUCCGGUGUUAAAUGGUCGGGCUCAACCCGAUCAUGCGCUGGAAACUGGGCGGCUGGAGUCCCGGAGGGGAUGCCGGAAUUCCAGGGGUAGGGGUGAAAUCUGUAGAUAUCUGGAAGAACACCGAUGGCGAAGGCAGGCAUCUGGCCGGAGACUGACGCUGAGGCGCGAAGGCGCGGGGAGCGAACAGGUUUAGAUACCCUGGUAGUCCGCGCAGUAAACGAUGCGCACCAGGUGUCGGGCGGCAGCGCCCGGUACCGGAGCUAACGCGAUGAGUGCGCCGCCUGGGGAGUAUGCCCGCAAGGGUGAAACUCAAAUGAAUUGGCGGGG
rnacentral:rRNA from 1 species